GGCGAACGUUCCCAGGGAGUGUUCCCAGCCGCAAGUCCAGGCGAGCCCAGGAAAACAACCGACAACAAUGCGAGCGCCUAGCUUUCAUCAUCGGCUUGCUGGGUUCCGAGUGCGUCUGCCACCUAAUCAUCACCAGCACACUCUCGGCCAUCUGGCGGCGGUGCUUGCUGGCGGCUGCCGUGACGCCUUUCCCGGGCCGGGCCGGGUGUCAGCGCCGGGCCUGCAAAGCCGCUGCGGAGAGGAUGGCUUGCGCUGGUGCUAGAAAGAAAUCGGAGAUAGUGUUGCUGGCAAGUCCAAUGUCUGGCCCAGACCGCAGGCCAGAGAGAAGAUGGAAACGGUGUUUCAUAAAACCUUGCUUUGAUUUUA